AACGAACGCUGGCGGCAGGCUUAACACAUGCCAGUCGAGCGCCCCGCAAGGGGAGCGGCAGACGGGUGAGUAACGCGUGGGAACGUACCUUUUGGUUCGGAACAACUCCGGGAAACUGGAGCUAAUACCGGAUAAGCCCUAACGGGGAAAGAUUUAUCGCCGAAAGAUCGGCCCGCGUCUGAUUAGCUAGUUGGUGAGGUAACGGCUCACCAAGGCGACGAUCAGUAGCUGGUCUGUGAGGAUGAUCAGCCACACUGGGACUGAGACACGGCCCAGACUCCUACGGGAGGCAGCAGUGGGGAAUAUUGGACAAUGGGCGCAAGCCUGAUCCAGCCAUGCCGCGUGAGUGAUGAAGGCCUUAGGGUUGUAUAGCUCUUUUGUCCGGGAAGAUAAUGACUGUACCGGAAGAAUAAGCCCCGGCUAACUUCGUG
rnacentral:rRNA from 1 species